rnacentral:rRNA from 1 species
GACAGAGGUGCCAAGCGUUAGGCGGAAUCACUGGGCUUAAAGCGUGUGUAGGCGGAUCGUUAAGUACCUUGUGAAAUCCCACGGCUCAACCGUGGAACUGCUGGGUAUACUGGCGGUCUUGAGCCACCUAGGGGCAACUGGAACAAGCGGUGGAGCGGUGAAAUGCGUAGAUAUCUGGAGGAACACCGGUGGCGAAGGCGGCAUCCUGGACCAACAUUGACGCUGAGGAGCGAAAGCCAGGGGAGCAAACGGG